GCCGGAGUGGUGGAAUGGCAGACGCAGCGGACUUAAAAUCCGCGGCCUGGUAAUCAGGCGUACGGGUUCGAGUCCCGUCUCCGGCACCA
rnacentral:tRNA from 1 species